rnacentral:rRNA from 1 species
UACGGAGGGUGCAAGCGUUAUCCGGAUUCACUGGGUUUAAAGGGUGUGUAGGCGGAUAUUUAAGUCAGUGGUGAAAUCUCCGGCUCAACCCGGAAACUGCCAUUGAUACUAUUUAUCUUGAAUUCUGUUGAGGUGGGCGGAAUACAUCAUGUAGCGGUGAAAUGCUUAGAUAUGAUGUAGAACACCGAUUGCGAAGGCAGCUCACUAAGCAGACAUUGACGCUUGAGGCACGAAAAGCGUGGGGAUCAAACAGG